rnacentral:rRNA from 1 species
CACGUGGAUAACCUACCUAUAAGACUGGGAUAACUUCGGGAAACCGGAGCUAAUACCGGAUAAUAUUUUGAACCGCAUGGUUCAAAAGUGAAAGACGGUCUUGCUGUCACUUAUAGAUGGAUCCGCGCUGCAUUAGCUAGUUGGUAAGGUAACGGCUUACCAAGGCAACGAUGCAUAGCCGACCUGAGAGGGUGAUCGGCCACACUGGAACUGAGACACGGUCCAGACUCCUACGGGAGGCAGCAGUAGGGAAUCUUCCGCAAUGGGCGAAAGCCUGACGGAGCAACGCCGCGUGAGUGAUGAAGGUCUUCGGAUCGUAAAACUCUGUUAUUAGGGAAGAACAUAUGUGUAAGUAACUGUGCACAUCUUGACGGUACCUAAUCAGAAAGCCACGGCUAACUACGUGCCAGCAGCCGCGGUAAUACGUAGGUGGCAAGCGUUAUCCGGAAUUAUUGGGCGUAAAGCGCGCGUAGGCGGUUUUUUAAGUCUGAUGUGAAAGCCCACGGCUCAACCGUGGAGGGUCAUUGGAAACUGGAAAACUUGAGUGCAGAAGAGGAAAGUGGAAUUCCAUGUGUAGCGGUGAAAUGCGCAGAGAUAUGGAGGAACACCAGUGGCGAAGGCGACUUUCUGGUCUGUAACUGACGCUGAUGUGCGAAAGCGUGGGGAUCAAACAGGAUUAGAUACCCUGGUAGUCCACGCCGUAAACGAUGAGUGCUAAGUGUUAGGGGGUUUCCGCCCCUUAGUGCUGCAGCUAACGCAUUAAGCACUCCGCCUGGGGAGUACGACCGCAAGGUUGAAACUCAAAGGAAUUGACGGGGACCCGCACAAGCGGUGGAGCAUGUGGUUUAAUUCGAAGCAACGCGAAGAACCUUACCAAAUCUUGACAUCCUUUGACAACUCUAGAGAUAGAGCCUUCCCCUUCGGGGGACAAAGUGACAGGUGGUGCAUGGUUGUCGUCAGCUCGUGUCGUGAGAUGUUGGGUUAAGUCCCGCAACGAGCGCAACCCUUAAGCUUAGUUGCCAUCAUUAAGUUGGGCACUCUAAGUUGACUGCCGGUGACAAACCGGAGGAAGGUGGGGAUGACGUCAAAUCAUCAUGCCCCUU